UGAUUUGGAGGACCUUACCUGUAGUUUAGGAAUAGAAAAAUUCUUGGUAUAUAUCAGCCAUUGCGGGGAUGGCCGUCGGUGGGUGUCGCUGGGCCGAGGGAUGGCCGUUGUGGGGUGGCUCUAGGUAGGC